UCCCAGGUGGCUCAGUUGGUAAAGAAUCUGCCUGCAAUGCAGGAGGCCUGGGUUCUAUCCCUGUGUUGGGAA
rnacentral:tRNA from 1 species